rnacentral:rRNA from 1 species
GGUGGGUUUGUAAGUCAGACGUGAAAGCCUUCUGUUCAACGGAAGAAUUGCAUCUGAAACUGCAAAUCUUGAGUAUAGGAGGGGAGAAUGGAACUUCUGGUGGAGCGGUGAAAUGCGUAGAUAUCAGAAGGAACGCCGGCGGCGAAAGCGAUUCUCUGGCCUAUUACUGACACUGAGUGUGCGAAAGCUAGGGGAGCAAACGGGAUUAGAUACCCCGGUAGUCCUAGCCGUAAACGAUGGGCACUAAGUAGAGGGGUUU